rnacentral:rRNA from 1 species
GAAAUGCGUAGAGAUUUGGAGGAAUACCAGUGGCGAAGGCGGCCCCCUGGCACAAUACUGACGCUCAGGUGCGAAAGCAUGGGGAGCAAACAGGAUUACAUACCCUGGUAGUCCACGCCGUAAACGAUGUCUACUAUCUGUUCGCGGCCUUGUGUUGUGAGUACCGCAGCUAACGCAUUAUGAAAACCGCCUGGGGAGUACGGUCGCAAGAUUAAAACUCAAAUGAAUUGACGGGGGCCCGCACAAGCGGUGGAGCAUGUGGUUUAAUUCGACGCACCGCGAACAACCUUACCUACUCUUGACAUCUACAGAACUUGGUAGAUAUACCUUGGUGCCUUCGGGAACUGUAAGAUAGGUGCUGCAUGGCUGUCGUCAGCUCGUGUUGUGAAAUGUUGGGUUAAGUCCCGCAACGAGCGCAACCCUUAUCCUUAAUUGCCAGCGAUUCUGUCGGGAACUCUAGGGAGACUGCCGGUGAUAAACCGGAGGAAGGUGGGGACGACGUCAAGUCAUCAUGGCCCUUACUAGUAGGGCUACACACGUGCUACAAUGGCAUGUACAGAGGGAGGCAAGCUGGCGACAGUGAGCGGAUCUCUUAAAGCAUAUCGUAGUCCGGAUUGUAGUCUGCAACUCGACUCCAUGAAGUCAGAAUCGCUACUAAUCGCAAAUCAGACUGUUGCGGUGAAUACGUUCCCGGGCCUUGUACAC